rnacentral:tRNA from 1 species
GGGCAAGAGCUGAGUUAAGACGAGCACAUGCGUGGUUAGCGUGAAAUCGAUGGUUCAAGUCCAUUUAGGCCCAC